GGUGGCGCGGCUGAGAGAGGCCCGCGGCUCGCGACAUGCCCCGCGUCUAAGGCCUUCGGAGACCACAGUCUCCGCGGACCCCUGGCUGGAGCCCAAAGCCGGCCGGACCUCCUUCCCGCGACUCCCUUUCCGCGGCUCGGAGAGGAAGGCAGGAGGGCCCCCAAAUAUCGUUCCCCUCCAGCAGAGGCAGCGAGAGAAAGAAAAAAAAGUCGCGGAGGAGGGCGGCCCGAGCGACCUAAGGGACAGGGCAGCGCCAGCGACCGAGGGAAAUUAGUCAGGGUGGGGUACAGGGAGACAAGCCCCCAGAAUUUAGGAAACUCCGAAGCUUGGAGCUGGAGUCCUGAAUUGACUCCAAUGACAACUGCUCCGGAUCUGUGCCAGGAGCCACACCCCGGGCUGCCACGCCCGGAGGGAGGGGGGCCCUAAGACCUGCUGCAUGGAAUCCCCACUCGGAAAGCCUCAGUAAACUCCAGAAUGCAACUACUGCAUGUUCCAAUCUCCCGCCACCUUCCCAGUGUCCCAGCUAGGACCCCGACCACCUUAGCGAGAACUUACCUCUCCUUUGCAGUGGAAAAGAGGGAACCCAACCUAAAACCUACUUCACGCUGUUAUAGAGAAGAAGAUACAGAAAAUGAAAAUGAAAAUAAAAUUUAGUACUACAGCACAAAGGUCCAGCUUGCAGAAUUAAUUGACUGUCUAGACGAAGAUUAUUGGGAAGCAGAACUCUGCAAAAUUCUGGAAGAAAUGCGUGAAGAAAUCCACCGACACAUGAACAUAACUGAAGACCUGACUGAUAAGGUUCGGGGCAGUAACAAAUCCUUUCUGGCGGCAGCUAAUGGUUUUAAAAACAUAUAAACCUUAAAAGUUUUAAUAGUAUAAAAGGGUAUGUUGUGAAAAAUGAAUCUCUCUCCUUCAUUACUCUGAACUAUAAAUUUUUAAAUAUGUAUGUAAUACCAUAAAUGACAUAUUAGUUGUAACUGCUGAAAGCAGGAUUUCACAUUAAGAUUUUACUAAUUUCUUAUUAGCUCUGACUCAUUUGAGGCUGAAUUCUUACUAUGCUAUCUAAAUCAAAAUUUUAAUGUACAUGUUAACAAUGCAUAAUAACAAAAAAACCCCAAAACAGAAUACAGCUUUUAUAUUAUUGAACUUUAUGUACAAAAUCAUUUGAUUUCAAAUAAACAUUUAAUGUAAAAACAAA